CUGGAACAGGAACAGCAACCCUGAGCCCUGGAAUAAGCUCAGUCCAAGCUACCAGUACAAGUUUGUGGCCAUUAACACAGACUACAAAAACCUGAAGAAGGAAGGACCAGACUUCUGAACAUGUCACGGAUGUUGCCUCAACUUUUGUCAUGAAGAUGCUGAGAUGUCCUUGUGCCUCACUAGUCUAAAUACACAAUAAUAAUAAUAGAGAAAAUAAACUUGUAGGAUGUAGGAUCUUUUCUAUAUUUUUUAUU